rnacentral:rRNA from 1 species
AUUGAACGCUGGCGGCAGGCCUAACACAUGCAAGUCAAGCGGCAGCGGGAAAGUAGCUUGCUCCUUUUGCCGGCGAGCGGCGGACGGGUGAGUAAUGCCUGGGAAAUUGCCCAGUCGAGGGGGAUAACCGUUGGAAACGACUGCUAAUACCGCAUACGCCCUACGGGGGAAAGCAGGGGACCUUCGGGCCUUGCGCGAUUGGAUAUGCCCAGGUGGGAUUAGCUAGUUGGUGAGGUAAUGGCUCACCAAGGCGACGAUCCCUAGCUGGUCUGAGAGGAUGAUCAGCCACACUGGAACUGAGACACGGUCCAGACUCCUACGGGAGGCAGCAGUGGGGAAUAUUGCACAAUGGGGGAAACCCUGAUGCAGCCAUGCCGCGUGUGUGAAGAAGGCCUUCGGGUUGUAAAGCACUUUCAGCGAGGAGGAAAGGUCAGUAGCUAAUAUCUACUGGCUGUGACGUUACUCGCAGAAGAAGCACCGGCUAACUCCGUGCCAGCCGCCGCGGUAAUAC